rnacentral:rRNA from 1 species
GAUGAACGCUAGCUACAGGCUUAACACAUGCAAGUCGAGGGACCGGCGCACGGGUGAGUAACACGUAUCCAACCUGCCCUUUACUCGGGGAUAGCCUUUCGAAAGAUAGAUUAAUACCCGAUAUAAAGGAUGGGGAUGCGUUCCAUUAGGUUGUUGGUGAGGUACCGGCUCACCAAGCCUUCGAUGGAUGGGGGUUCUGAGAGGAAGGUCCCCCACAAUUGAGCUGAGGCACGGUCCAAACUCCUACGGGGGGGAGCAGUGAGGAGUAUUGGUCAAUGGGCGCUAGCCUGAACCAGCCGAGUAGCGUGAAGGAUGAAGGCUUAUGGGUCGUAAACUACUUGUAUAUAAGAAGAUGUAUUAUAUGAAUAAGCAUCGGCUAACUCCGUGCCAGCAGCCGCGGUAAUUC